AACGAACGCUGGCGGCAGGCCUGAAACAUGCAAGUCGAACGAACCUUCGGGUUAGUGGCGCACGGGUGAGUAACACGUGGGAAUGUGCCUCUGGGUGAGGAACAACGUCGGGAAACUGACGCUAAUACCGCAUAAUGUCUACGGACCAAAGAUUUAUUGCCCAGAGAUCAGCCCGCGUCUGAUUAGCUAGUUGGUGGAGUAAUGGCCUACCAAGGCGACGAUCCAUAGCUGGUUUGAGAGAAUGAUCAGCCUCACUGGGACUGAGACACGGCCCAGACUCCUACGGGAGGCAGCAGUUGGGAAUAUUGGACAAUGGGGGAAACCCUGAUCCAGCAAUGCCGCGUGAGUGAUGAAGGCCUUCGGGUUGUAAAGCUCUUUUGGCGGGGACGAUGAUGACGGUACCCGCAGAAUAAGCUCCGGCUAACUUCGUGCCAGCCGCCGCAGUAA
rnacentral:rRNA from 1 species